rnacentral:rRNA from 1 species
UACGGAGGGUGCGAGCGUUGUCCGGAAUCACUGGGCGUAAAGGGCGCGUAGGCGGCUUCUCAAGCGUGUGGUGAAAGUCCGGGGCUCAACCCCGGAUCGGCCGUGCGGACUGGGGAGCUCGGAGUUCUGUAGAGGCGGGUGGAAUUCCGGGUGUAGCGGUGGAAUGCGUAGAGAUCCGGAAGAACACCGGUGGCGAAGGCGGCCCGCUGG